UACGUAGGGUGCAAGCGUUGUCCGGAUUUAUUGGGCGUAAAGAGCGUGUAGGCGGCCAGGUAGGUCAGCUGUGAAAACUCGAGGCUCAACCUCGAGACGCCGGUUGAAACCAUCUGGCUAGAGUCCGGAAGAGGAGAGUGGAAUUCCUGGUGUAGCGGUGGAAUGCGCAGAUAGUCAGGAGGAACACCGAUGGCGAAGGCAGGUCUCUGGGCCAUAACUGACGCUGAGACGCGAAAGCGUGGGGAGCAAACAGG
rnacentral:rRNA from 1 species